GCGAACGCUGGCGGCAGGCCUAAAACAUGCAAGUCGAACGCCGUAGCAAUACGGAGUGGCAGACGGGUGAGUAACACGUGGGAACGUACCCUUUGGUUCGGAACAACACAGGGAAACUUGUGCUAAUACCGGAUAAGCCCUUACGGGGAAAGAUUUAUCGCCAAAGGAUCGGCCCGCGUCUGAUUAGCUUGUUGGUGAGGUAACGGCUCACCAAGGCUACGAUCAGUAGCUG
rnacentral:rRNA from 1 species